rnacentral:rRNA from 1 species
UACGUAGGGUCCGAGCGUUGUCCGGAAUUACUGGGCGUAAAGAGCUCGUAGGUGGUUUGUCGCGUUGUUCGUGAAAACUCACAGCUCAACUGUGGGCGUGCGGGCGAUACGGGCAGACUUGAGUACUGCAGGGGAGACUGGAAUUCCUGGUGUAGCGGUGGAAUGCGCAGAUAUCAGGAGGAACACCGAUGGCGAAGGCAGGUCUCUGGGCCGCAACUGACGCUGAGGAGCGAAAGCAUGGGGAGCGAACAGG